GAACGCUAGCUACAGGCUUAACACAUGCAAGUCGAGGGCAGCAUGGUCUUAGCUUGCUAAGGCCGAUGGCGACCGGCGCACGGGUGAGUAACACGUAUCCAACCUGCCGUCUACUCUUGGAUAACCUUGCGAAAGUAAGACUAAUACCCAAUGACGUCUCUAGAAGACAUCUGAAAGAGAUUAAAGAUUUAUCGGUGAUGGAUGGGGAUGCGUCUGAUUAGCUUGUUGGCGGGGUAACGGCCCACCAAGGCGACGAUCAGUAGGGGUUCUGAGAGGAAGGUCCCCCACAUUGGAACUGAGACACGGUCCAAACUCCUACGGGAGGCAGCAGUGAGGAAUAUUGGUCAAUGGACGAGAGUCUGAACCAGCCAAGUAGCGUGCAGGAAGACGGCCCUAUGGGUUGUAAACUGCUUUUAUAAGGGAAUAAAGUGAGUCUCGUGAGACUUUUUGCAUGUACCUUAUGAAUAAGGACCGGCUAAUUCCGUG
rnacentral:rRNA from 1 species